UGAAUACAUCCCUGAGUUUGUGGAUGACAGGGUGAUUAGGAUGGUUGGUGCUGAGAAUGAAGAUCUUGAAGAAGGAGAAAUCCCAGAUGCUGAAGUCUUUGCUGAUGAACUUGCAUAUCACAAUGACAUCUUUCCUGCUGAAGAGUUUGAAAUUGCAAAUCCACAAGACAUUGCUAAUGUUGCUAGGGAUUAUGCUGAGCAAAGGAGAGCUAGGGAGAAGUUAGAAAACCAAAGACGGAUUCGAAGGGAAAGGAGACUUGCCAACUUGCAUAAAGAUGGAGCUGAAUGGGAUGCUGCUAGAUCUGUGUUUGACUUUCCAGAGGUCACUCAAGAUAAUAAUGAUGACGAAGUAAAAGAUAUCUUUGACUCCUUCAGGAACAACUACAAAGAUUUACAUGAUUAUCACGAGGUGUUGAAUGAUAUCAUUUCUACUGUGUCUGUUGCUGUUCUUCCCAGAA
rnacentral:lncRNA from 1 species